rnacentral:ncRNA from 2 species
GAUCAUACUGCCCAUUCAGGUGCCCUCAGCCACAAGGUGACGGGAGAAUCGGGAAGGCGGUGCAAUUCCGCUACGUGCCCAACGCUGUAAGGAUGAUGCUUCGGCAACAAGCCACUGGUGAAAACCGGGAAGGCGCCGCCUGCAGAUGAAUCCAAGUCAGAAGACCGGCCUGAAGAAUUUGCGCCCU